UACAGAGGGUGCAAGCGUUAAUCGGAAUUACUGGGCGUAAAGCGUGCGUAGACGGUUACAUAAGUCGGGUGUGAAAGCCCCGGGCUCAACCUGGGAAUUGCAUUCGAGACUGCGUAGCUAGGGUGCGGAAGAGGGAAGCGGAAUUUCCGGUGUAGCGGUGAAAUGCGUAGAUAUCGGAAGGAACACCAGUGGCGAAGGCGGCUCACUGGCCCGGUACUGACGCUGAGGUGCGAAAGCGUGGGGAGCGAACAGG
rnacentral:rRNA from 1 species